CGUUAUUCCGCGUCUUGGAAUCGCGCGACGUUCCAAUGUCGUCGUAUUUCGUAACCAAUAAGCUGGCAACAGCUCGGCAACGGUCACCGAUCGAACCAUCGUUAAUGAAAACUCUAAACAAUGGCCAAAGGAGGGACGAAGGAAUUUGCGUGGCAAGCCCGUGGAUGCAAAGCGGGACCUCCCAUAACGCGGCAGAUACGUAUUAUACGGGACCCGUAUUAGCCUGUUUCGCGUAAAAUCGUGAAAUUAUAAAAGAGAAAUCUGCGAUCUGCAAUGACUCGCUUAUCGAUUCGCUAACGUUAUUGCUCGCUAAAUUACCGCGCGGAAGGGCCCGGGUUACUCGGAAGCGGCGAAAGGAUAUCGAGAAAACGCGACUAUCGCUGGAAAGCACGUUGUAAAUUCUAUGGAAAGGAUCGAUAGAACGGUAAUUAGAGACACAGAAGUUUAGCCUGAAAGUAGAGUGGACAAGUUCUCGCGGCUUUUACCGAUACGAGGCAACUUUUAACGCAAUGUCGCCGUAGUCUUCUCCUUCCUCGUUCAUCGAUCUCGACAAUUUUCGAUAAAAAAAAAAAAAAAAAGAGAAUAAAUCUUUAAUAUCCGUCCGAACGGAGAGACGAUGGAUCGUCGCGAGGACGACUGGGAAAAUUUGGUAUGCACGCAGCCUUAUCGUAGAUUCGGCGCGAAGGAUGGCUGACACGAAAGUAGUCCGUAGUACAAGAUGCGAACACGAAUCGGCCGGACCAGCUGACUGCCAAAACAGCUGCGGCGAUACACGCGAUGAUGGAUCAUUGCUUGCUCCGUUUCACUGGUUCGUCGUCUCUUCCGCUUCUCCUUUCCACUUCGACUCGACCUCUCGACUCGAUCGUACGACUCUGUGCGUUCAGCCAAUUCCCGCGUAAUUAGCCGACCUUCUUCUUUUCAUCGAUUACGCGUAUAUGCUAAAGAGAUCCAAAAGCGAACAAUCGAUCGUAAGGUAACGUAAUCUUACAACUUGGAGAAAUUCGAAGAAAUCGAUGUGCUUAUAAAACUAUAAUUUAUAUACAGGGUGAUUGGUAACUGGCGGUACAAGCGGAAAGGGGGCGAUUCUACGCGAAAAAAGAAGUCGAAAACAUGGAAUAACAAUUUUUCGUUCGAGGCUUUGUUUUCGAGAAAAUCGACGUUGAAUUUUCGCUCGGUACGCCUGCACUUUAUCGCGUCUCGUUAUAACGGAUCUCACUGCAGAUCGUUGUGUCGAUGGAAAAAUUAAAAAAAAAAAAAAAAAAUCACCCCCUUUCCGCUUGUACCGCCAUUUACCAACCACCCUGUAUAAGUAUAUGUUUGUGAUAAAUAUUUAAAUAUAAAUAUACGCGUAUUUAAUAUAUAGAUAUAUAUUUGUAAUAAGCUAUCGCCUUGGUCUUUAAUCAAGAAAUCGACGUACGAUCUAUUUGAACGGAAUUUGAAAUGUAUCGAACUGAUUACCCACCGGGUGUGCUUUGCCUCUCUCUUUCGAGAACUAGCUGUUUUAUUUUUGGCCGUCUUACGUAAGGAACAAUGUUCGGUCGACGAUCGAGGCGACAAACAGCGUUAAUCGUACCGUGCGAUUUUGCCGCUAAUCUCGAAGUACGCUUCAAUCGCUCUUUCUCAAGGUACGCGUAUCGAAGCAACUAUUAUUCCUUAAGGAAAAUACAAAUUGCCGUUCGUGUUGCAGAGUCACGCAGUGACGAAGAGAUACUCGGUUUUCUGUACGCGAUAAAACGUUUGUUGUACCAAAUAGAAAGUUACCGUUAUCCAAUCCUGACGGCGGCUAAAAAAAUUCAAAGGCCUUUUCCGUCUCUUUUUCUUACGAUUAACCAAUUGUCGCGUUGGCUUGGAGUCUGUCGAUGCCGAGGAAAAAAUUGUUACGAGGAACGUAGACGAGUCGAGGAUAAAAACUAUCACGUUCCAUGGGAUAAAGCGAAACGCCGAAAAACCGGCACCGGUGGACUAAUAGCUAGAGGAGAAGUACGGUCGCUCGAGCGUGCUCGCGAUACUCUAACUCUGGUUCGUUAAUUUUUUCGUCGCGUUACGAUUCGAACGAAUUUACCCGAGAGUCGUUCGAGCCUCUCGCAAACCACAUUGAUCGAUACCAUAAGUCGAAAGUACGUUUGUCGAAUUUCCCUUAGAAUUUACCAUCGCUGCUGUCACGUUGCCACGAACGAUCUCGCACAGGUCGUUUGUCGCUCAAGAAUCGAACAUCGAUCGCGCGCUUAUGUAACGAAAUUAAAAAAUUAAUAAACAGUGGUUCGAUUCGAGCAGCUUGCAGGAGAUUCGUUUCUCGUGGUUUCCUAUUCCUUCGCUUGAACGUUCUAUAUUUUUCGAUUUAUCACAGCUAACGCCACAGACGAGCUCCGUACGACGCACACGUUGCAACGAAUUGCGGUUGCGUCACGCGUAUAACGCCUUCAAUGAAAUAUCGUAACGAACAUGAUAUCUGAUAUCGUACACGGUAUCCUUGAAUUUAUAUAAUGUCCAUUCUUUCGUUAUUCGUUAAGGCUUCUUUCGUUCCCCUCUAUCCUCGCUCGUCGAUCCUUUUCACCCUCCCCCUUCCUCCUAGUUUCCCCUCCAUCCAUCCAUCUAAGCGUCUAUCUGUUACUAUACGUUCGUUACUUCUCGCACGACUCUUCCUACACGAUACACGAAACGAUUGCGUAAGGAUUUCUUCGCUUUUGUAAAUAAUUGGACGAUGCUCGAGCGACCAGUUCCAUCGCCAAACAGCAAUACGGAAUUAUAAGCGUACAGAAACGUAGAAACUGCGGCCACUUUGGUCGCUGACUUUGACAGCCGACGAUCGUUCUCCCUGUCGACUUGUCGUGUAUCUUACGACGAACGACUUACGUUUUUCCGUACGACCUAUUGCAUAAAUAUAGAAAGACGCUAGUCAUCGGAGAAGUAUUUGCGAGCGGCGAGUUGCUACAAAUACGAACGCAUUUGUUCGCUUAAUUGUUUCGAAAACUGUGCGUUUGAGAUCAGUCGAGUCUAUGAAUGGAGAAAGGAGCACGGGGGUAGUUGGAGUCGCUCGACCGACAGCGGUCGAACGCGAUAGAGAGAGAGAGAGAGAGAGAGGGAAUAGACGGAGAAUAAUGACGUUCGUUCCGGAGAAUAAUUUUCAAGAGACGACAAAAAAUAUUUAAUUGCUGUCAGUAGGAUGGUUUCGAUUCACGCUUCGAUAAAUAAGAACUAUCGAUGGAUGGUAGAUAUUACGUGAUCGGGAAAUAAAAUGUCAAAUACCAUAGACGCGUAAUUGCGUAGGAAUUAAAGAGCGACGUAAGACGGAAAAUGCAAGCUCGAUAGGUUACAAGUGCAAGGACGAGAAAAGAGUCUGUUAGGUGUCCCCGAGCGAGUAGCAUCAGCGAUCGCGCGUGUCGCUCGUUCGUUCGCCCGCCAACCGCUUUCAUCCACUCUCGUUCUUGCACCCUUUUACCCUUUUUAUUCUUUGACGUAAGCCUUUUGUCCCUCAGGAUAUUUGCGGAGCUUUGUUUCGUCGACAGUAUGUACAGCGGCUUAAAUAUACGUCGCUAAUGGCACGGAACCGAAGAUACAAAGGGUUGCUCGCUACUGCUACCGUUCUUACUAUUACUGCCACUGCUGCUGGAUGCUGGCGUGUUUAUUUAUAAUUUGACCAUGGUCAAGAAAGGAACGAUCGAAUCGGUGGAAGCUAAAGAUCGACUUUCAAAGCGGACAGAGUUACUCGAACGAUGCAAAGAAUGCGAUCUUUUAUAAAUAAGGAAAUAAAAUAAAGCCGCACCACGUAA